rnacentral:snoRNA from 10 species
AAGAUCAUACUUUCAGGGAUCAUUUCUAUAGUUUCUGACUUGAGAAAUAUCGUAUGAAAGUCAUCGGUUACUCUAACCACGAUGAAGAGAACUGAAGUUCCCUUCUGAGCGC